CAAUAAAUCAUGCCCCUUUUGUCAAACUCCACGUGUAAAUUGCCCCUCCCACUUCGUUUCCUUUCAUGGAUUGGAACUCAAUGGUUUCUUCGUCCUAAACCAAAGCGAUCAUGGCCGUUUGAGACUGAAAAGCCCUAUACGGAUUCACCAUGCAAUUUCAGCUAGGUUGAAGGUGGGUAAUAUUUUAAGGAUGCACACCAAACAACUAUGGUUUGCAUGCCCUGCAGAAGGACUCCAUCAUGCAAGUUUUAUUCCGUUGGUCCCCAGUGGAUGUCAGUAUACCGGCCGACCAUAGACUGCUGGUUAUGUACGGUCAGUAUAUUUUGAUAACCACUAUCACAGCUGACACAGCUAGCUAAUGUCAGCCUACCUCAAUACAACUCGGAUUUGGCUUGGAAAAAAAUAACAUUUCAAAAGAAGACAAAUACUUACUUAAAUACAAUCAUUUUGUUAUGAUUGCGAUGUCGCCAUACUAACUUCAGCUGCAGAUUUGAAGGGACCGCUGUAUUUUAGCUAGCUAACAUUAGCAUUGUUAGCUAUUUUUGACAAACUUUGAUAGUAACAGUAAUGAGUUGCAACCGAUCUAAAGUAAAUUUGACAUAAUUAUUGCAAAGUUGUUUGCUACUAAUUAUUUGCCUACUUUGGCAAUGUCAUAUUGCCAUGCCACUCGAAAUUAGUGUAAUUUAGACGAAACAGUCACAUUAGCUUCUGAGGCGCAACCCAUGUCUUCUAGGGCACAAAUAAAUAUUGGAGGCAGUAAUGGCGAUACUAGCUAACUCAUGUCUGACUACAACAGUGUCCCAACUAGUAGUAACAAACUCAGUCAAUCUACAUCUGUAAAGCAUAGAAGUAGCUUUCAAACGAGAUUACCUUAUUUCUCGAGCUGUGUUUAUAAUUUAGGUAGGAUGACAAUCGUUGAACCUGUUUUUCUGUUAAACAAAGGGCAUAAUUGGGUGCCAGACUGAUCCCGUGGUCAUGAACGGAUGUUGGGACCUACCAGAAGGAGCAACGGUGGGCUUGUCAGGCAAGACCUCAGAAUAAGUGUUUCACAACAAGUACUCUUGUGACACCUCAUCCAUUGUUGCCAGUCUCCCUCAACUCUGAUGAAAAGGACACGCGGCAUGAGGCCUCUGACGACACAGAUGGCUUCAUCGACAGUCACAGGCACUUCCAGUCAACACCACCUAAUAAGAUUGGCUGCUGCAGUUGUUUGAGAGAUGUCCAGUUUGCAGCUGAACAUGCAGCAUAGAGAAGACAAGCAAGGGGUCCCUCAUCAGCAUCAUGCAGACAUGCCCUCACAGUGAGCAUUGUGGCUGACAAGUAUCCGACCAGCGACCUUCACUUGUCAGCGGCAACAGCUUUCACAGGAUCAUCAUCAAAUCAAAUCAAAUUUAUUUAUAUAGCCCUUCGUACAUCAGCUGAUAUCUCAAAGUGCUGUACAGAAACCCAGCCUAAAACCCCAAACAGCAAACAAUGCAGGUGUAAAAGCACGGUGGCUAGGAAAAACUCCCUAGAAAGGCCAAAACCUAGGAAGAAACCUAGAGAGGAACCAGGCUAUGUGGGGUGGCCAGUCCUCUUCUGGCUGUGCCGGGUAGAGAUUAUAACAGAACAUGACCAAGAUGUUCAAAUGUUCAUAAAUGACCAGCAUGGUCGAAUAAUAAUAAGGCAGAACAGUUGAAACUGGAGCAGCAGCACAGUCAGGUGGACUGGGGACAGCAAGGAGUCAUCAUGUCAGGUAGUCCUGGGGCACGGUCCUAGGGCUCAGGUCCUCCGAGAGAGAGAAAGAAAGAGAGAAUUAGAGAGAGCAUAUGUGGGGUGGCCAGUCCUCUUCUGGCUGUACAAAUACAAACAAUUUCUGUAAACUGACAUUAGUUGUUGCUUAUUUUCUACUUCUUAGUUGCGUAUAAUGUCCAGGGCAUAACCUAGCCUGGUUGAACCAGCCUGAUCCCUGUGUUCACCAUUCUAUUUCACUUCAAAUUUUAUAUCUGAAGUGAAAUAGAAAAGGUGAAUGGAGCAAUCAGGAUAUUUCUACCAAGCUAAUCAUAACCACCAUUGGUAAUGUAAUCAGUGCUGUGUGUGUGACCGACCAGUAUCUUUGAGGGACCAGUAGCUGAUCUACGCUACUAUGUCCAUCAAUAGGGCUCUGGCAAAGACCUCACCUCCAUCCUCACAUCUUGCCUGCUCACCAACAGUCUUUGAUGGGGAGAACAGAAUUAGGUUUAGGCUGACCUGUUUAAACUUCAACAUAGGUGAGAUCUGACACAAAUCCCCCUCUUCAAAGGGGGUGACACUCUAGACCCAAACUGCUACAGAUCUAUAUCUAUUCUACCCUGCCUUUAAGGUCUUUAAAAGCCAAGUUAACAAACAGAUUACCGACCAUUUCGAAUCUCACCGUUCCUUCUCUGCUAUGCAAUCUGGUUUCAGAGCUGGUCAUGGGUGCACCUCAGCCACGCUCAAGGUCCUAAACAAUAUCAUAACCGCCAUCAAUAAGACAUUACUGUGCAGCCGUAUUCAUUGACAGAGUUGAAAGCCUUAGCCAUGUCGAUCACAACAUUCUUAUUGGCAGACUCAACAGCCUUGGUUUCUCAAAUAAUUGCCUCGCUUGGUUCACCAACUACUUCUCCGAUAGAGUUCAGUAUGUCAAAUCGGAGGGCCUGUUGUCCGAACCUCUGGCAGUCUCUAUGGGGGUGCCACAGGGCUCAAUUCUCGGGCCGACUCUCUUCUCUGUAUACAUCAAUGAUGUCGCUCUCGCUGUUGGUGAUUCUUUGAUCCACCUCUACGCAGACGACACCCUUCUGUAUACCUCUGGCCCUUUGUUGGACACUGUGUUAACUAACCUCCAGAUGAGCUUCAAUGCCAUACAACUCUCCUUCCGUGGCCUCCAACUGCUCUUAAAUGCAAGUAAAACUAAAUGCAUGCUCUUCAACCGAUCGCUGCCCGCACCUGCCCGCCCGUCCAGCAUCACCACUCUGGACUGUUCUGACUUAUAUAUAUAUAUAUAUAUAUAUAUAUUCUAACUACAAAUACCUAGGUGUCUGGUUAGACUGUAAACUCUCCUUCCAGACUUACAUUAAAUAUCUCCAAUCCAAAAUUAAAUCUAGAAUCGGCUUUCUAUUUCGCAACAAAGCAUCCUUCACUCAUGCUGCCAAACAUACCCUUGUAAAACUGACCAUCCUACCGAUCCUCGACUUCAGCUAUGUCAUUUACAAAAUAGCCUCCAACACUCUACUCAACAAACUGGAUGCAGUCUAUCACAGUGCCAUCCGUUUUGUCACCAAAGCCCCAUAUCCUACCCACCACUGCGACCUGUAUGAUCUCGUUGCUUGGCCCUCACUUCAUACUCGUCGCCAAACCCACUGGCUCCAGGUCAUCUACAGGUCCCUGCUAGGUAAAGCCCCACAUUAUCUCAGCUCACUGGUCACCAUAGCAGCACCCACCCGUAGCAUGCGCUCCAGCAGGUAUAUCUCACUGGUCACCCCCAAAGCCAACACUUACUUUGGCCGCCUUUCCUUCCAGUUCUCUGCUGCCAAUGACUGGAACGAACUGCAAAAAUCUCUGAAACUGGAGACUCUUACCUCCCUCACUAGCUUUAAGCACCAGCUUUCAGAGCAGCUCACAGAUCACUGCACCUGUACAUAGCUCAUCUGUAAAUAUCCCAUCCAAUCUACCUCAUCCCCAUAAUGUAUUUAUUUAUUUAUUGCUCCUUUGCACCCCAGUAUCUCAACUUGCACAUUCAUCUUCUGCACAUCCUACCACUCCAGUGUUUAAUUGCUUUAUUGUAAUGACUUUGCCACCAUGGCCUAUUUAUUGCCUUACCUCACUUAUCCGAUCUCAUUUGCACAUGCUGUAUAUAGACUUUUCUACUGUAUUAUUGAUUGUAUGUUUGUUUAUUCCAUGUGUAACUGUGUUGUAUGUGUCAAUGCUUUGCUUUAUCUUGGCAGGUCGCAGUUGCAAAUGAGAACUUGUUCUCAACUAGCCUACCUGGUUAAAUAAAGGUGAAAUUAAAAGAAAAAAAACAUAGUAUAUCUAACUGCCAUUGGUAAUAGAACAGUGACUGUAUGUGUCCACAGAAACAUGGAUGGGGGCUGCACAUGGAGACUUGCAAGAUUAUGGUAUGAAGUCCAGACUGACAGACAGGCUUGAUACUUGUCUCUGAAUGGAGAGACCUGGCACUCUGCAUUCAACUUUUACUUGCAUUGUCUUUUAUUAUUUAAAUGAAUAGUGUCAGUCAUUAUGGGGAGGGGAAAACCCUGUAUGUUCUGCACCAGAGAACUCCUGUUGUAUACAGGACACCACACAGGAAGGUAUGACCACUCACUUUUGCCAAGGCAGCCCCAUUACCACCAGACAUAAUGCAGAUGGGCACAGUAUCUGUAUCGGCUGGUAAUGACCAAAGAUGAAGGUGCACAUUGUUAUAUUCUUAGAACACUGUUUCUAUGGUAUUAUGUAGGCCUACAGACUUGUUUAUUCUACCUGGAUCUGUUACUACAUUUCAAAAUGAUCAAGAUAGACUAUCUUAAGGCAGGCUAACUAUUUUGAAUGCACUGGUGGGAGUAGAAGGUGAUACAGAUGCAGCUGUCCAUGCAGCUGUUCAAGUUACUCACAUUGGACACUGGGAAGCACAGAUGACAGAAAUAAAUGCGGGAGAGUUCUUCACAACUGCAUUGGUUGUUUGGCACUGAAUUAAAAGACAAAGGAACUCAGGUAUUUAACAAGGCAAUUGGUUGCAGGUGCGCACAGAGACAGUGUUGCCAACUUAGCUACUUUGUCGUUAUAUUCAGACCCCUCUAGCGACAAAUAAAAAACCACUAGAGACAAAUCUAGCAACUUUUUCUGGUGUUAUUGGAGACUGACGUGAAAGCACGUAUCGUUCUUACUCUUCUCAACGAGUAGCAGGUGCUGCCCCACCGUCCCAAAGCACUCACAGGCGGCCAAGUCCUCGCCAGCAGUCCCUCCCAGCUGCAGUCAGAGCAGGAGAUGUUCACCCCUCCUCGUCCAGACUGCAAAUGAAUCGUGCAUGCGGGAAGCCGCCCCUGGCUUACAUUAAAAAAAUACAAUUAACCUGAAUUAGGGCCAGACUAGUUACCAUAAUUUUCUCACAUUGCCAUUGACAGUUUUUUCUAUUGUCUCUUUUUGGUCCAUUUAGAUUGUUAAUGUAGCUUGUAUACAAAAAAAUGUUAUGGUGAAAAAUGUUAAUGUUUUCCUGUGACUUGUUGUAGGCUCCUAAGUGGACUAUAGGUUAAAAACCAAACCACAUUAAGAAAACUAAAACACAUAAAAUAAAAAAACGAAGUAACUCCGCCAGAGUGUCUAUUUUGGGUCACUUUUGCCAGUCCUAAGCCCGGAUAAAUGAGGAGGGUUGAAAUUGUGACAUUUAAAAAAAAACAAGAAUCGACAGACGAAAGUUCAUUUGUAGUUCUAAACAUAUUUAGGGUGUUUUUUACUCACUUUUUGUCUCUCCCACAGCGUCCAUCACAAUUACGUUCACAUGGCCAAUUAUGCAAAUUAGGUGAUGAUGUAAUUUAGUGACUUUUAGGACAGCCAAUAACUACUUUCCUAACUGAGGAGUUGGCAACACUGCAAGCCAGUCAUCCUCACUACAAGCCCUCUGCCUCAGCACUGCAUUACACAUUCCUUUCAGGUGACUGUUUUAAAAGAUCAGGAACCAGUAGCUAGGUGAAACAAAAAAGCUGGGCCAGAUGAAUCAUUCGAACAAAAAUAAUUAGCCAGCCAGCUAACAUUAGCUAGCUAGCCAAGCCAAAAAGAUUUGACCUGCCAGUCCAUCUGCAAAUCUGUGGGUCAAAACCACCAGAAAUAUGCAAUAAAACUCAAUGUUAUCAAAAACAAUUAAAAACACUUAAAUGCACAUAGAGCUCUCUGCUUAGGCUGCUGCCAUGGCAACAACAUAGCUGUAAUAUAGAAGUACGUUUGAAAAACCUAGCAACUUGGGUGUGUUCAUUCAUUCAUUCAUUCUGGAGUGCACUCUGGGCGUUGUCAGAUUGUUUGUAAAUUCAGAGCGUUCAGUCUGUCCAAGGAGUUGGGUUGAUCCAAGCGUUCUGACCUCAACCUCAGUCAAGCACCAAAGCUAACAGGCUAACGUUGGUUAGCUUGCUAGCUACGUCCAGACCAGUGGCGAUUUGAACAUGUAAAUCUUGGUGGGGAAAACUCAAACAUAAAAAAAAAAUGCAUUCCAGCAAAAACACAACACUAAAAAAUACAUUAGUUGCACUAUAACGGUGGCAAGCGGUGCCCACAAACUGUUAAGGCCUACAUAAAGCUGUCCCAACAGCAGAGCUUUCUUUCCAGCACAAUGGAGUGAAUCCUUACCACCGCUACACCUGGCUGUCAAUAGAGCCUUGUUUGUCAGCGAAACAAUUAAUUCAGCCUCGUUUAAAAACAUAGCUGAUGUGGCUGACUUGCUUAAGCAAAUAUGGUUUCUACUUACAAUUGAGAUGUACAAAAGAUGGCAUAAGGGAACGAUAAGAGUAAUUCCGUAAUUUCGAUUAAGACAUUAAUGAGCGAAUGACAACGGACAUAGUCAAUAUAGUAACUAUGUGUUCGGCACUUUUGAAAUGUACAGCAACAGAAUGCAGAACGUGGGCUGCUCUUGCAGUAUUUAACCUGUACACCAAGUCAGAACCAUAGAAUAAAUAAAGGGAGCAGACAAUAUUAGAUGGCAUUAAUCAAAAACUGAAGCGGCUAAAGGCUACAAGUGCAGCACCACUGAGUCAGAACAGUAAUGUUAGGCGAAAUUAAUAGGUGAAAAUAGACCAAAUUAUGGGCUACUAACAGCUUACUACACAACAUACACUUAGUAUUACUUUCUUAGCUACAGUAUACAUAUCUCCCUUGCAUAUUGCAUAAUUUAUGCAGCAGCAUACAAGACAUUUUUGGACUAAACUUGGCUUGGGAUGUGCUCACUUAAACAUGAAGGUGGUGCGGCGGUUAUGUCAUCAAACUUUGUCAAACACACAGCCACUCCUUUGAAUAGCAGGCUACUGGUUGCUUUGCACUGCUUGCAGUCAGCCACUGAUUCCUUCCAAACGACUCAUUGUUGAAUUUGCGAUUUCCAACUUGUUGUGUAUGUAACGGAUGUGAAGCGGCUAGCUUAGUUAGCGGUGGUGCGCGCUAAAUAGCGUUUCAAUCGGUGACGUCACUUGCUCUGAGACCUUGAAGUAGUAGUUCCCCUUGCUCUGCAAGGGCUGUGGCUUUUGUGGAGCGAUGGGUAACGAUGCUUCGUGGGUGACUGUUGUUGAUGUGUGCAGAGGGUCCCUGGUUCACACCCGGGUAUGGGCGAGGGGACGGUCUAAAGUUAUACUGUUACAUUGGUGCCAUGACCCGGAUCACUGGUUGCUGCGGAAAAGGAGGAGGUCAAAAGGGGGGUGAGUGUAACGGAUGUGAAACGGCUAGCUUAGUUAGCGGUGCUGCGCGCUAAAUAGCGCUUCAAUUGGUGAUGUCACUUGCUCUGAGACCUUGAAGUAGUAGUUCCCCUUGCUCUUCAAGGGCCGCGGCUUUUGUGGAGCGAUGGGUAACGAUGCUUCGUGGGUGACUGUUGUUGAUGUGUGCAGAGGGUCCCUGGUUCACGCCCGGGUAUGGGCGAGGGGACGGUCUAAAGUUAUACUGUUACAUGUAAUCUUUAUGGCCGAUGAGCACCGAUACGCUUUAUCUAUAAUUUCUCUUCAUAUGACAAGGAUUAAAGAGCAUUUGCCAGUAGAUUGUCAACUUGAUUCAUGAUGAUGAUUCCUAGCUAAGACUUUGAAAGUAAGAUGUUGACAUGAUCAGUCCAAUCAAAACUACUGUUCAUAUAAUCUGAUUUGACGUCAUUUUACCUGUGGCCAAUGAUCUUGAGCUUUCUUGGAAGGGCACUUGUAAUGUAACUUUAUGGCAGGACCCAAAGAGCAGAAAUUUUGGAUGUCUAUUAUUUCUCUUUCUCUAAGAACAUACACUUUGCGAUGACGUUGUGUCCUCAUGAGUGACUGAACCAAUCACGGCGUAAUGUUCCUCUUUUUUGCUGGCACGCCCCACCACCACAGAAAGCACUGAGCUAUGCUGAAACGCCUGCAUUUUGGAGCUGCCUUACUCAAGAAAACAAAUAAUAGAACAUGAGUGUAUGCAGCUUUAUUAACUCAGUGAUAUAAAUCUUUUUUGACAUUGUUUGUAAACUGAUAUGUGACACGUAUUAAUUCCAAAAUAACAUGCAAAACAUGCAAGCCCUCUUUUUUUUGUGCUAAAAAUAUGGGGCUCAAAACAGCACAGUUACCAACGCUCAAGAAAACAUGAAAACAGCCUAACAGGCUCUGCCCCACCUACCCUGAAUGACGGGUCACCACUGGUAUAGACACAAAUGAGAGAACACCUCACUCUGACUAUUUUACUCGCUGUAGCAGAGCUGGUUAGGCUCCAAUCCUCUCAUAGGUUUUCUAUCGAGGAAUACUCAAUUGCAGCAAUCAGAACAGUCAGAGUGGAUCUGAAUGAAAGGAUACACUAAAAAAGAGCCUAUUCUUAUUCUACUGUACAGCAUUUUUUAUAAUCAAAUCAUAGAAAGUUCAGUAUACACAUGUGUCAAAAGGGGAAUGCACAUGAUGCAAGGCCAUCAGAAGCACUGGCAGACUCUGGAUGCUACUAUAUUCUUGUUUCAGGGCAAUAGCCUACACCACAUACAGUUGGCUACUGUGCCAGAGCCAUACAGUAUAUACAUAAUUGAAAUCUUGACAUGAUGCCUUAAUUCCUGGGAUAGAUCAAUAAUUGCACCAAUGCAUCCCAUCCAAAAAUGAGAAUGUUCCUCAACAGGGAAACCCCUUGCAAGGUUACAUGAUGGAAUAAGAGUUUGUCUUAUGACCAUUUUAAGUGGAUUUAUAAACCAUUAUUCACCCAAGCUUUUAAUAAUAGGCUUACAAUUUGGAAAGCAUGAAUGACUUUCACAAUGUUAACCAUAACUUUUUAUUAUAGGUUCUAAAAAUGUUUAAUUGAUGGUUAAAGUAAUUGCCCUAUUUUCAAAUGCACCAUUAAAUUAUUUAACAAUUGUAAGUAUUUUUUUGAUGUGGAAACAUUGUGAACCCGUUUUUGCGAUUGGGCCUGUGCAUCCGACUCCAGAGCCCUUUAUUGCAGAGUUGUGUCAAUGAGGUGGUCUUACAUGGUUUGUGCAGGCUGAGAUAUGGUGCGUUGGGUUGCUAUCGGAAACGGAAACAUUUUAACCAGCAUGGUAACAAACAUUCGUUGUUGCACCCCGCAAUUACCACCAGUUACAUGUUAUUACAGUGUCACUAUACAAUACUUGUUACAGGGUAAUUACAUUGAAUAAGGACCCCUUAAAAUGAAGCAUUACCAAAAUACCUGAUUCAAUAAAAAAAAAUAUAUAUAUGAGUGCCUUCUAAAUUUCACAAUAAAUUGAAUACCUGAAUUUCUACCAAAAUCACUGAACUACAUUAAUUAUUUGUCCGUGUCAGUAAAAGGUUUCAUGUGCUAUAAUUCAGAUAUGUCACAACUUCCGCCGAAGUCGGUUCCUCUCCUUGUUCGGGAGGCGCUCGGCGUCGCCGGUCUUCUAGCCAUCAUCGAUUCACUUUUCCUUUUGUCUUGUCUUCCCACACACCUGGUCUCAUUUCCCUCAUUACAUGUUGUGUAUUUAACCCUCUGUUCCCCCCAUGUCUUUGUGCGGAAGUGUUUAUUGUAAGUGCAUGUGCACGGUUUCUCUGGUGCGAGACGGGUUUUGUAUCUAUUUGUUUGUUGUUCUGGUUUCUGGUGGUUUUUAUGAAUAAAACUGCUCCGUUGAUUACCCA